UCAACGUUGGCGGCGUGCGUAACACAUGCAAGUCGAACGAUCCUUAAGUGGCUUGCCAUUUAAGGAGAGUGGCGAACGGGUGAGUAACACGUGAGUAAUCUACCCUCGAGUGCGGAAUAACUUCGCGAAAGCGGCGCUAAUACCGCAUAAAACUCUAAAGCACACGCUUCUAGAGUCAAAGCCUUCGGGUGCUUGAGGAUGAGCUUGCGCCAUAUUAGCUUGUUGGUGGGGUAAUGGCCUACCAAGGUUAUGAUGUGUAGCCGGCCUGAGAGGGUGUACGGCCACACUGGAACUGCGACACGGUCCAGACUCCUACGGGAGGCAGCAGUGGGGAAUUUUGCGCAAUGGGCGAAAGCCUGACGCAGCGACGCCGCGUGGAGGAUGACGGCCUUCGGGUUGUAAACUCCUGUCAGAGGUGAAGAAAACCCUUCGGGGUCUGACGGUAACCUCAGAGGAAGCCCCGGCUAACUAC
rnacentral:rRNA from 1 species